UACGGAGGGUGCAAGCGUUGCUCGGAAUUAUUGGGCGUAAAGGGCAGGUAGGUGGUCUCAUUUGUCUGGGGUGAAAGCCUUGAGCUUAACUCAAGAAGUGCCCCAGAAACGGUGAGACUGGAGUCCUGGAGAGGGUCGUGGAAUUCCCGGUGUAGCGGUGAAAUGCGUAGAGAUCGGGAGGAACACCAGAGGCGAAGGCGGCGACCUGGACAGGCACUGACACUCAACUGCGAAAGCGUGGGGAGCAAACAGG
rnacentral:rRNA from 1 species